UACAGAGGGUGCGAGCGUUAAUCAGAAUUACUGGGCGUAAAGGGCGCGUAGGCGGUUAUGUAAGUUAGAUGUGAAAUCCCUGGGCUUAACCUAGGAACUGCAUCUAAAACUGUAUAGCUAGAGUGCAGUAGAGGGUAGUGGAAUUUCCGGUGUAGCGGUGAAAUGCGUAGAUAUCGGAAGGAACACCAGUGGCGAAGGCGGCUACCUGGACUGACACUGACGCUGAGGCGCGAGAGCGUGGGGAGCAAACAGG
rnacentral:rRNA from 1 species